AUUACGAGUGUUCGAAUGGGCUGAAGUAGGUCCCAAGGGUUGGGCUGUUCGCCCAUUAAAGCGGUACGCGAGCUGGGUUCAGAACGUCGUGAGACAGUUC
rnacentral:ncRNA from 1 species